UACGUAGGGGCCGAGCGUUGUCCGGAUUUAUUGGGCGUAAAGCGCGUGUAGGCGGCCAGGUAGGUCGGCUGUGAAAACUCGAGGCUCAACCUCGAGCUGUCGGCCGAAACCAUCUGGCUAGAGUCCGGAAGAGGAGAGUGGAAUUCCCGGUGUAGCGGUGAAAUGCGCAGAUAUCGGGAAGAACACCCGUGGCGAAGGCGGCUCUCUGGGACGGUACUGACGCUGAGACG
rnacentral:rRNA from 1 species